UAUACUUAGUGCAGAACCAAAACUGCCGAAGUGAAGUUGCUUAUUAAGAAGCAGAUAGCUAAUUUGUCUGCGUAAACGGUAGAAAUGAAGUUACGUGACAGUACCGCCUGUCGUUUAAAUUAAGGGGUAAUUUACAAUGUUGCAUUCUGGAAAGUACCAGAUAUAAAAAACUUUAAGUGAACAUUGUGCCGUUUACUGCAAUAAGUUUCGGGUGAACAAAUUUGGAAAACAUAAUCCGUAAAUUAGCUGCGGAUAUUGUUU
rnacentral:sRNA from 1 species